rnacentral:rRNA from 1 species
UGCUGUCGUCAGCUCGUGCCGUGAGGUGUAUGGUUAAGUCCCGCAACGAGCGCAACCCCUGCCCCCUAGUUGCUAACCCGCGAGGGUGCACUCUAGGGGGGACUGCCUCCGUCAAGGAGGAGGAAGGUGGGGAUAACGUCAAGUCAUCAUGGUCCUUAUGCCCAGGGCUACACACGUCCUACAGUGGCCGUUACAAUGGGAAGCUACAUCGCGAGGUGAUGCCAAUCCUGUAAAAGCGGCCAUGGUUCGGAUUGCAGGCUGCAACUCGCCUGCAUGAAGAUGGAAUCGCUAGUAAUCACUGAUCAGCAUGCAGUGGUGAAUACGUUCCGGUCUU